CAGUAGCCGCGGUAUACGGAGGGUGCAAGCGUUAAUCGGAAUUACUGGGCGUAAAGCGCACGCAGGCGGUCUGUCAAGUCGGAUGUGAAAUCCCCGGGCUCAACCUGGGAACUGCAUUCGAAACUGGCAGGCUAGAGUCUUGUAGAGGGGGGUAGAAUUCCAGGUGUAGCGGUGAAAUGCGUAGAGAUCUGGAGGAAUACCGGUGGCGAAGGCGGCCCCCUGGACAAAGACUGACGCUCAGGUGCGAAAGCGUGGGGAGCAAACAGGAUUAGAUACCCCAGUAGUCCCUGUCUCUUAUACA
rnacentral:rRNA from 1 species